AAAAGGCAGAUAACCUGCAGAUGACAGUAGAAGAGCUGUCAGUUGUGGGAAUUCAGAAUAAAAUUCAAUAUGCCUGCGACAUAAAACCCGAAGGAACCAUCAACAAGACAGAAACCUUUACCUGUGAGAUCAAAGGACUGCAAAGCGAUCACAUUGAUAUGGUCGAGGUGAAAUAUGGAAAUGAAUCUAUAAAACUGAACAAAUCAUCUUCAUUAUUAAUUUUAAUACUGCUCAUCAUAUUGCUGAUCCCCAUCACCCUGGUUGUCGUGUUUUUCAUCUACCGAAGACAACGGCAGCAGUUGACUGUUAGGAUGAACAACGUGAUGGAAAAGCUGGAGUGUGAGAUUAGGAACGACAUCCUGUAAUAUUCGGCUUGAUUAAAGCGGAACCCACAAAAAACACACAAGGGGGAUCUUGUGUCAGGUAAAUAGGAAAUAAGUGUUACCAGGUUAAUUUGAUAAAAAAAUUAAUAUUCAACCACUCAAUACAAAAUUAAUAGGUUUUUACCAGAGAUUAUUUAUUCAGAAAACCUGAAAUUUGCAUACUUAAUAAACCUAAAUCAUUACACCAAAACCCUCCAAAAUAAUCAAGGGUCUGAUUCGCCUUGUUCAGGCUGAGUCCUCAACCACACUUAAAUAAUCGAAGGUCCUAAUAGUCCUGUUCCUUUUUUAUAAUAUUUUUGUCCAUGAAAGAGUCCCAUAAACUCCAAAUCAAACAACGUCCUGGAAGCGUCUCUCCGUAUUAAUCCCCGGUCUCCAUCCCAAAAGAAAAAUCCAAAACGUCAAAAAAAACCAAAAAAGAUGAGAAAAAAGAAGAGUGGUGCCACCCAAAAACCCCCAAAAGAAAAUAAAGUCAAGAUCUCAUCGGGAGCGUCGCUUUUCCCCCCCGGUGGCUUCCUCCAUGCACUGGCGUCGUCCUUCUGCACCGGGCGGCAUUUCCUCGGUGCAAACUUCGGUCCAGGCUUUUGGGCACGAUCUGCGGCGCUGGGGCGAACCUUAAUCGAUCUUUUAUCUUUUUCGUUAGUUUCUUUCCUUGGGUUAAACAAUCAAUAAAGCCAAACUCCCGCUGCACAGAUCUGACCAUGAGCGUCCUACUUGCUGAUUGUGCCACGCCUCGCCGUCGCACACGCCCCCUUUUCAUUACUAAAUUUUCACACACCUGGUUCCAAAUAUGAUUGACCCAACAUCAGUUUUUUUAACAGUGGAACUUCAACAUAUUUAAAAAAAUAAAACUUGUGGGGAUUUUAUCCCCACAAGUGUUCCACAUUCCGCUUGGAAUUUUUAACAUUUAAUAUAGUUACUGAGAAAAAACAAAACAUAGUCAGACAAGGUCAGGCCUUUUUUUUUCUGAGUCUGGCAUUAGGUUUGCUUUUUUUUUUUCUAUGUAUAAAAUAGAUUUUAAGAUUAUUUUAUUAACUUAUAAAGUUUUAAAUGGGUUAUCUUCAGGAUCUUUUAAAAUUUCAGUCUGUGUCCAGAACCCUCAGAUCAAUCAAUCAGCUUUUACUUACAGUCCCUCGGACUCGACUAAGGAAAGGAGAUCGGGCUUUUUCUGUUGUUGCUCCUAAUUUAUGGAACAAUUUGCAUUUUCAGAUUAGAUCUGCUAGCAGCCUGGAUCAUUUUAAAUCGCUUCUCAAAACUCAUUUUUAUUCGUUGGCUUUUAACUGAAGCAAUUUUUGAUAUUCUGUUUUAUCUACUUGUGUUAUUGUCA